GUCUAUGGCCAUGCCACCCUGAACAAGCCUGAUGUCUGAUCUUGGAAACUAAGCAGGGUCGGGCCUGGUUAGUACUUGGAUAGGAGACCACCUAGGAAAACCAGGUGCUAUAGUCA
rnacentral:rRNA from 1 species